UCACCAACGACUCUCGGCAACGGAUAUCUCGGCUCAUGCAUCGAUGAAGAACGUAGCGAAAUGCGAUACUUGGUGUGAAUUGCAGAAUCCCGUGAACCAUCGAGUUUUUGAACGCAAGUUGCGCCCGAAGCCAUUCGGCCGAGGGCACGUCUGCCUGGGCGUCACAC
rnacentral:rRNA from 1 species